rnacentral:rRNA from 1 species
AGAGUUUGAUCAUGGCUCAGGAUGAACGCUGGCGGCGUGCCUAAUACAUGCAAGUCGAACGAGGUGCUUUGUAGUAAUACGAAAGUGUCCUAGUGGCGAACGGGUGAGUAACGCGUUGGUGACCUACCCCAAAGUGUGGGAUAACAGUUCGAAAGGAUUGCUAAUACCGCAUGUGGUCUUCGGAUUUAGAAACUGAUGACUAAAGGAGUAAUCCGCUUUGGGAGGGACCUGCGUCCCAUCAGCUAGUUGGUGAGGUAAUGGCUCACCAAGGCUACGACGGGUAGGGGACCUGAGAGGGUGACCCCCCACAAUGGAACUGAAACACGGUCCAUACACCUACGGGUGGCAGCAGUAGGGAAUAUUGCACAAUGGGCGAAAGCCUGAUGCAGCAACGCCGCGUGUGCGAUGAAGGCCUUCGGGUCGUAAAGCACUUUUCUGAGGGAUGAGCAAGGACAGUACCUCAGGAAUAAGUCUCGGCUAACUACGUG